AGCGGGGUGGAGCAGUCCGGCAGCUCGCCUGGCUCAUAACCAGGAGGUCACAGGUUCGAAUCCUGUCCCCGCAA
rnacentral:tRNA from 1 species